rnacentral:rRNA from 1 species
UACGUAGGGUGCGAGCGUUGUCCGGAAUUAUUGGGCGUAAAGGGUUCGUAGGCGGUGUGGCAAGUCGGGAGUGAAAUCUCUGGGCUCAACUCAGAGACUGCUUCCGAAACUGCUGUGCUGGAGUGUGGGAGAGGCGCGUGGAAUUGCAGGUGUAGCGGUGAAAUGCGUAGAUAUCUGCAGGAACACCCGUGGCGAAAGCGGCGCGCUGGACCACUACUGACGCUGAGGAACGAAAGCUAGGGGAGCAAACAGG